rnacentral:rRNA from 1 species
ACCAGUGAGGAAUAUUGGACAAUGGGUGAGAGCCUGAUCCAGCCAUCCCGCGUGAAGGAUGACGGCCCUAUGGGUUGUAAACUUCUUUUGUAUAGGGAUAAACCUACCCUCGUGAGGGUAGCUGAAGGUACUAUACGAAUAAGCACCGGCUAACUCCGUGCCAGCAGCCGCGGUAAUACGGAGGGUGCAAGCGUUAUCCGGAUUUAUUGGGUUUAAAGGGUCCGUAGGCGGACUCGUAAGUCAGUGGUGAAAUCUCAUAGCUUAACUAUGAAACUGCCAUUGAUACUGCGGGUCUUGAGUAAGGUAGAGGUAGCUGGAAUAAGUAGUGUAGCGGUGAAAUGCAUAGAUAUUACUUAGAACACCAAUUGCGAAGGCAGGUUACCAUGUCUUAACUGACGCUGAUGGACGAAAGCGUGGGGAGCGAACAGGAUUAGAUACCCUGGUAGUCCACGCCGUAAACGAUGCUAACUCGUUUUUGGGUUUUCGGAUUCAGAGACUAAGCGAAAGUGAUAAGUUAGCCACCUGGGGAGUACGAACGCAAGUUUGAAACUCAAAGGAAUUGACGGGGGCCCGCACAAGCGGUGGAUUAUGUGGUUUAAUUCGAUGAUACGCGAGGAACCUUACCAAGGCUUAAAUGGGAAAUGACAGGCUUAGAAAUAGGCUUUUCUUCGGACAUUUUUCAAGGUGCUGCAUGGUUGUCGUCAGCUCGUGCCGUGAGGUGUUAGGUUAAGUCCUGCAACGAGCGCAACCCCUGUCACUAGUUGCCAUCAUUCAGUUGGGGACUCUAGUGAGACUGCCUACGCAAGUAGAGAGGAAGGUGGGGAUGACGUCAAAUCAUCACGGCCCUUACGCCUUGGGCCACACACGUAAUACAAUGGCCAGUACAGAGGGCUGCUACCAGGCGACUGGAUGCUAAUCUCGAAAGCUGGUCUCAGUUCGGAUUGGAGUCUGCAACUCGACUCUAUGAAGCUGGAAUCGCUAGUAAUCGCGCAUCAGCCAUGGCGCGGUGAAUACGUUCCCGGGCCUUGUACACACCGCCCGUCAAGCCAUGGAAGUCUGGGGUACCUGAAGUUCGGUGACCGUAACAGGAGCUGCCUAGGUUAAACCGAA